UACGUAGGGGGCAAGCGUUGUCCGGAUUUAUUGGGCGUAAAGAGCGUGUAGGCGGCCAGGUAGGUCCGCUGUGAAAACUCGAGGCUCAACCUCGAGAUGUCGGCGGAAACCAUCUGGCUAGAGUCCGGAAGAGGAGAGUGGAAUUCCUGGUGUAGCGGUGAAAUGCGCAGAUAUCAGGAAGAACACCCGUGGCGAAGGCGGCUCUCUGGGACGUGACUGACGCUGAGACGCGAAAGCGUGGGGAGCGAACAGG
rnacentral:rRNA from 1 species